UACGAAGGGGGCUAGCGUUGCUCGGAAUCACUGGGCGUAAAGGGUGCGUAGGCGGGUCUUUAAGUCAGGGGUGAAAUCCUGGAGCUCAACUCCAGAACUGCCUUUGAUACUGAAGAUCUUGAGUUCGGGAGAGGUGAGUGGAACUGCGAGUGUAGAGGUGAAAUUCGAUAGAUAUUCGCAAGAACACCAGUGGCGAAGGCGGCUCACUGGCCCGGUACUGACGCUGAGGUGCGAAAGCGUGGGGAGC
rnacentral:rRNA from 1 species